rnacentral:tRNA from 1 species
GUCUUAGUAGUAUAAUCAUUACAAUGGCCUUGUAAGCCAUAAACGGAGAACCAACCCUCCCUAAGACU